GACGAACGCUGGCGGCAGGCCUAACACAUGCAAGUCGAACGGUAGCACAGAGAGCUUGCUCUCGGGUGACGAGUGGCGGACGGGUGAGUAAUGUCUGGGAAACUGCCUGAUGGAGGGAGAUAACUACUGGAAACGGUAGCUAAUACCGCAUAACGUCGCAAGACCAAAGAGGGGGACCUUCGGGCCUCUUGCCAUCCGAUGUGCCCAGAUGGGAUUAGCUAGUAGGUGGGGUAACGGCUCACCUAGGCGACGAUCCCUAGCUGGUCUGAGAGGGUGACCAGCCCAACUGGAACUGAGGCACGGUCCAGACUCCUACGGGAGGCAGCAGUGGGGAAUAUUGCACAAUGGGCGCAAGCCUGAUGCAGCCAUGCCGCGUGUAUGAAGAAGGCCUUCGGGUUGUAAAGUACUUUCAGCGGGGAGGAAGGGAGUAAAGUUAAUACCUUUGCUCAUUGACGUUACCCGCAGAAGAAGCACCGGCUAACUCCGUGCCAGCCGCCGCGGUAA
rnacentral:rRNA from 1 species